AACAGGAAUAUGUGACAGAAGAGGCCAUUCACCUCAUGGCAGUGUUAGAGCAGCAAAAAAAGCCUGUUAAGGGGAAGCUCCUCCUGGUCAAAAGAUGAGAAGCUCUGAACUGGGUGGAGACCUGACAUUCCCCUUGAGCAGGUCAGUCACCUGGCCAAGGCACCACCCCCAGGAAGGAGAUAAGAAAUUAAAGAAUGCUGAAUUGUCUACCUGUCAGCUCUUCAAGGCCAGGACCCACAAGAUGGAAGCAGAGAACCAACUCCUGCAAAGUGUCCUCGGAUGCCCACACUCAGACUGCAGUAUGCAUACCUAGACAUAUUACAUGCACACACAAAAUAAGUAAAUAAAAAUGCAAUUCAAAAAACCCCA